rnacentral:piRNA from 1 species
CAAACUAGUAGCCAACAUCAAAGUA